rnacentral:rRNA from 1 species
UGGGGACACGGGGGGACGGGGCACAGCAGGCGCGAAACCUUUACAAUGCACGAAAGUGUGAUAAGGGGAUCCUAAGUGCUCAUGCUUCGGCAUGGGCUUUUUUCAAGAGUAAAUAUCUUGGAGAAUAAGUGGUGGGUAAGACUGGUGCCAGCCGCCGCGGUAACACCAGCGCCACGAGUGGCAACCGCGUUUAUUGGGCCUAAAGCGUCCGUAGCCGGUUGAAUAAAUCUUUUGUGAAAUCGUCAGGCUUAACUUGACGGCAGGCAGAAGACACUAUUCAACUCGAGACCGGGAGGGGUCAAAGGUAUUCCUGAGGGAGCGGUAAAAUGUGAUAAUCUCAGGAGGAUCACCUAUGGCGAAGGCAUUUGACCAGAACGGUUCUGACGGUGAGGGACGAAGGCUGGGGGAGCGAUCCGGAUUAGAUACCCGAGUAGUCCCAGCAGUAAACUCUGUGAGCAAGAUGUUGCAUAUCCUUGAGGAUGUGCAGUGUCGAAACGAAGGUGUUAAGCUCACCGCCUGGGAAGUACGGUCGCAAGACUGAAACUUUAAGGAAUUGGCGGGGGAGCACCACAAGGGGUGCGGCGUGCGGUUUAAUCUAACUCAACGCAGAGAACCUUACUAGAAGCGACGGCAGGAAGAAGGCCUGGCUGAAGACCAUGCUUGACGAGCCGAGAGGUAGUGCAUGGCCGCCGUCAGCUCGUGCUGUAAAGUGUCCAGUUAAGUCUGGCAACGAGCGAGACCUAUACCCUCUAUUGCUAACGGCAACAUGUUGGACCGAGCACUUUGAGGGGACUGCCUUGGAAACAAGGAGGAAGGUGUAGGCAACGGUAGGUCUGUAUGCUCCGAAUCUUCUAGGCUACACGCGCGCAACAAUGGUAGUGACAAUGGGUCGCAACUCCGAAAGGAGAAGCUAAUCCUCCAAACAUUACCCCAGUUCGGAUCGUGGGUUGUAACUCACCCACGUGACGCCGGAAUCCCUAGUAAUCAGACGUCAUCAUCGUCUGGUGAAUAUGUCCCUGCUCCUUGCAGGAAUUCGCCGA